rnacentral:rRNA from 1 species
AUUGAACGCUGGCGGAAUGCUUUACACAUGCAAGUCGAACGGCAGCACGGGGGCAACCCUGGUGGCGAGUGGCGAACGGGUGAGUAAUACAUCGGAACGUGCCCAGUCGUGGGGGAUAACUACGCGAAAGCGUAGCUAAUACCGCAUACGAACUCAGGUCGAAAGCGGGGGAUCGCAAGACCUCGCGCGAUUGGAGCGGCCGAUGGCAGAUUAGGUAGUUGGUGGGGUAAAGGCUCACCAAGCCGACGAUCUGUAGCUGGUCUGAGAGGACGACCAGCCACACUGGGACUGAGACACGGCCCAGACUCCUACGGGAGGCAGCAGUGGGGAAUUUUGGACAAUGGGCGCAAGCCUGAUCCAGCCAUUCCGCGUGCAGGAUGAAGACCCUCGGGUUGUAAACUGCUUUUGUACGGAACGAAACGCGCCGGGUUAUACCCUGGCGUAAUGACGGUACCGUAAGAAUAAGCACCGGCUAACUACGUGCCAGCCGCCGCCGUAAUAC